rnacentral:tRNA from 1 species
GGUCUUAUAGUUUAAUAAAAACAUUAAAUUGCAAAUUUGAUAAUGAUUUAUGUAUCUAAGACUU